ACUGUCCACUCGAAAGGACAGACGACACAUUGAUGUACUCGACGGAGCCACGGCUCUCACCACUUUGUAUACGGUUCGGCCGAUAUCUUGGGCCUUUUGCCCACGAUGCUACAUUAGAAUUAUAUCUUCGACGAUUAUUAGAAUGAGCGAAAAUUUCUACGGAUAGUGAUCACAGAAUUUGUCAAUCAGCUGAUAAACGUAUUGAGCUAACAUGAUUUGCAACGGAAACCUUCCGUUUCCAUAUCAAUUUCAAAUCUAUUUGGCUAUGAUCGCGCAUCCCUCGAUUGCCGCAUUUUUAUGGAAAACUCUACUUCUCAAAUGUACACAGGCGGGUCGAACGAUGAACGGACUGUUCCAUUAUUCUUUCUAAUAAAAAAUUAUUAUUUUACUUUUGGAAUGGACCAUCGAAUUCAUUUAUGAAUAAAAUUUGUGACCAUGAUUCUUUGUACACUUUAGAAAAUUGUAUGUUGACUUCCAACGUAUUAAGUAGCACUCAAGUUUUGUUAAUAGAAUGUUCUCCUCUCGUGUCGUAUUCUGGAAGGUGGUUUCAUCCCUUGAACUCCAGUUAUCGCGACUAACAAGGAUGUGCAAUUAUAAAUGUGACUGUUCUUCAAGCCCACAAAGUGCACCCUCGAGUUUCAUCCAAGUUUUGUUAUUGGGAUCGAAUGCAAAUUUCGAAUCUGUCAGAUUUUUCUCUGUAAAUCAGCUAAAAUGUCCGAAGCUAUUCUCUCUAGUAACUUGUAAUAACUAACCCUUACUCAAAUCUCUGCCCUGGGCAAUGUGCACUCCAUCGAUCAGCAACUUCAGUUACCGCUCAUCCUCACUAAAAUCUUUCCAUGGCUCAAUGCCUCGUGGGUGCACUUCCAGCUCCAACUGUUUUCUUGGACAGUGUCCACUAGCUACAUCGAUGGCGGAGAAUAAUCUGUCUCUCUAAUCAGUCUCUCUGUAGACGCUGCCGUGUAAACUUGCAAUUAUUUCCUUGACAAAUCACCUUCUGUGGACGACGUCCAUUUCCUGGUUAUUUAGUGGUUACUUUCACCAAAAUUGUCGACCACUUGAUCACUGCGAAACUUUCCGGGGGAUUCUUAGUAGUUUCACCUACUUUCACAGACAGUGUCUAUCCAAGAUUGGUAAAAUAAACAGACUAUCGGGACAUUCUUUGGAAAGUAGAACGAUUUUCGCUAUCAGAGAUGCAGAUUCUAUCAAGCAAAAGGGAGACACUCCGGAGAAAAGAAAUUGACGCUAAAACAUAGUUUCGCAAUCUAAACGAAGAAUGUCGAAAAAGGAAUAUGCUGGGACUAAAAAAAUGUUAAAGGCAUUAAGAGAAGUUCUAAUAAAAUACCAAAAAAAAAAAAUAACAAACAAAGCAAUAAAAAACAAAACUGACACGAAAUUCGAAGAAUAAGAAUAGAUCAAGAAUAUCACCGAAUAAAAUACGAAAAAAAAGGUAGAAGAAAAGACUGGAUGAGAGCACUAAACUGAAGUUUUACUGAUAAAGAAACAGGAACACCAAAGAGAGUAGUUCAAUCAAUAAAAAAUAGCCUAACGAUGCUAAAGAUCAGUAAUAAAAAAAGGUAUACGAAGGGAGAGACGGAAUUGCAGCACGUCUGUACUACCAUUCGCGGUAUGAUAGCCCUGCUAUAGCGAAAACUUUUUACCUUGUUUUCAAUUUAAUCAAAUUUUUAAUCCCACUGAAAAUUUUUAAUUUCAGUUCAUCCCUUAACUCGCACUACUUCGAGAUUUUCUCGUUGAUGGCUGUAUACAGUCAAAAGCGGGGAAAAGCUAACCAUUGGCAAAGGUUUAUUUUUCGACAGAAAAAAUCUCGUUGAGACUAUUCUUUUUAAUCAUUGCAACGCCGAGAUUUCCAACUUCAUUUUCUGGUAAUAAAUCCAGCUGAUAUCAACUACUGGAAGCACCGACGUGCACUAACACGUUCGUGAUAUUCAUUUCCAAAUAACGCGCGUGUGUUUUAUUUUCCCUGAGCAUAUAUUUCCCCUUUUUCAUAACAUCGUCGAACAUUCGUCUGUUUACCGACGGAAGCAGGAAAACGAGGAAAAAAUACGUAGACGAAAAAAAAAAAUCUGUUUUAAUAACGAACUACGAAUAUCUGCGCAAAAUUUUACGAACAUGACAUCAUGAACGACCUAUAUCUUUAUUUGUUGUUGAAUAAAAAUUAACGCUGCUGUAAACACGGUUAUCAUGAGAUCUACAACUUCACGAUUUUAUUAAAUAUACUUCUUUUACGAUAUAAUCGCAAAAACAUUUACCGGGAUUAUGUAUUAUAAUGAAUAUUGUGUAAAUAAGGAAAUUGAAAUGUAUCGAACACAAAUUAAAGAUAUUGAAAUAUAAGAGUCAUGUACCGUAAUGAAUAUUUUAUUUAAAUACGUUCAAAUGUAUCAAACAGAAAUUAAAAAUGCCGGAGGAUAAGAAUUAUUUAUUAGGAGUAUUUCAUUUUACAAAAUUGAAGCAUUUCAAACAAUAAUUAAAUAUAGGUGGAGAAGAAACAUUUAUAAGAGUUAGGUUUGGGUUAGAUUUCUCUUACUUAUCUCCCUGUCUGUCUGUCUCUCCCUCUCUUUUUCUUGGGUUUAUCUUAGGGGUGCUUUAAUUUGUCAAUACAGAACCUUCCUUCUACAUCUAUCUUCUUCCCAAUUAGCAAUUUCAUAUUUCAGGUAAAUAAUUUCACGUCCGCGAAAGAAUAGAGUUACUAAACUAACAAAUUACAUUACUGUCUCGGCAAAGGCGUUAAAUUCUGUCGAUUCAUCGUCUACGAGGUACAAGCGGCUGAAUGACAGCUACUUUAUCGAGGGAAUUGCGUUAUAAUGUUGUCGGCGACCGGCAAAGAGCUUUAAUCCAUUGAUCGUCAUUCGAGUAACUGAAUUCGGAAACAAGCUCGUGGUAAUUAAAAAGAAUGUAUCGCUAAUGUAUUUAAGAUUCGAUAAAAAAGAAAUUUCAUUUAUCCUCGCCGAUAAGGAUAAAGGUAAAUAUCAAAAAGGGAACGCGUUUCAGACGAUAAACUCGAUUUUGAUCGACUGGUCAUUGAAAUUUCCUGUCACGUUCUUGUUACUAGAGUUGACGUUUCGCCGUUUUAGUGCUUUCGUCCUAUUAUUUUAUGUUACUAAUUAGAUCUUCUGGAAAUGGCAAUUAUUGAUAUGAAAAGCGACCAGUUGAUCCUCGUAUUUGACCGUUCUCAUUAACGAGGUAUUUAUCGAUCAUGUAACAAAUAUCUCUUAGCCAUAUCGCUUUGACACAGCUGCUGAUCUGUCCUUUGCACCGUGUGUAGGAUUUAGUGCAAUUAGCAUAGUGCUUUAUACGUCUCUAUAUAGGAUCGAUUUGCAUUUCGUGGUACGAUACCACCAGAAACGCAUGUUUCGUACGUACAAUUAUUUUUAAUUAUCUUUAUCAACGACAGGAAACAAUCUACACAUUUUGAAAUUUCGUUGAAACCACAAUGAAACACAUUUACACCGAUUGUAUCGGUGAAAUGUUAAAAGAAUUUGUAAAUGUACGUAGAAGUUUGAAAAUAUUUAUUGCAAGCAUACGCUUCAUAAACAUGCUCGAAGUAUACGAUUAGUUAUCGAAUCAUGAUAAUAGUGUUUCAUUACAUCUCAUUACCUCAUUAAUUAAUUACUCAACAAGUUUCGUAUAACAUACGAUAAAAGACUUUCUCCCCUAUCUACGAAGAGAAUUUCUCGAUGAGCCUCUACUACGUAAUGCUCGUUAUUUUGGAUGGCGCGACUGGUCCACAGAAAAAUUAUAUGGUUCCGUUGGAAACCGACGAAAGCAGCUGACGCGCCAGGCAGAGAGCAGAGGGAAUAAAAUAUCACGGAGAUGAACCUUGAUUCUUCUGCUUAGUGGAAAGGUUAUCGAUCGAGAGCAGGAUCAGAGGUUUUCGUCUCACGAUUAAUUACUCCACGAAAAUAUGUCAAAAGGAAAGGCGGGUCUUUAGAAGUUGGUCAAAAGUCAGGGCAAUCGUAUAGAAAGUAUUGAAUUAUUAUUUCCUUUGAACGUAUGUAAAAAUAUGUAGAGAUAAAAUGUUAUGAUAAAAAUCUUAUUAAUUUUACUAUUAAAUUUGUUUUUAUUUAAUUUCAAUAUUCGAUUUAGAUUUUACGGGUGUUUCAGGGCGUAUUAUUAAUUUCACAACUUGUUUAAUUUUCUUACGCUAAUUAAUAUCGAUUAAAUGUCCGUCUUUCUCGCCCUUUCGUAAUUGUAAUUUUAAUCUAGAUUCGCGAUAAGUUGUUUUCGACGAGGUAAAUUCGCGAAAUUGUUUUCUUUGAAACUCCAUAGUUAUCCUCAGUGUUGACCCAAUAUUAAUCUUAUUCGCUUCGUGCCACGGUAAUUAGCCUUCGCGUCUGGUUGCUCGUUUUGAGGAUCGGGACACAGUUUCUCAUUUUUAACGGGCACUUUGCGCGGUCAAUUCACGCGCGCCAUUUCUUCUAGACGUGACCGAUUCUUCACCAGACUUCUACUUCCAUCUUUCUGGUACCAUCAUGGCCAAUGUGUUUCUUAUUCUUCUCCAAAGACUUUCCACGUCGUCGUCAUGAAUUCCACGUUCGAUCGAUACUCGAGAUCUCACGCUAUUUUUCUUCCGUGCACCUAUCCAAAUAUCAGACACCUGACCACCAUUCGAAGAAACAUGAACAUCUCCAUUCUGCAAUUUCGAUGCGAAAUUUCAGUCAGUCAGAGCAAUUUCGCUGGCCAGAAACACAAAACCAAUUUGUUUAAAUUUCCCACAUUGUUUAUUCGAAAAUUAAACCACCUAUUGCUUAAUGUUCGUAUCGGAUAUCAGUUGCCUGCAUGCAACCAGUUUAACGUUACAAUGCGCUUGUUAGUUCACGUUUGUAACAACUGUGGUCACAUUUGCAUACGAUACGAGAUUCCUCCCGGAAACUCUGGUUUUGGAUCAUUAAAGUUAACUCAAUAUAUACACAGCAGAUAGAAUGUUCUUUUGCCUUCAAACGAAAUCAGACUUUCAAUUCGUUUCAUAUAACAGUUUGUUGCGAUAUGAAGCUCUUUGCUUUCGUCGAAACGGAAGUAGAUGAGAUACGUUCAAGUCAGACACGUACACUUAAUGAAGUUUAAUUGAAUUACAGUAUUGUCGUACAUACUUAACACAUCUUUGACCGGUCACGAGUUAACUCGUGUUUUCAUGGCCAAAUUGUGCACCAUUACACGCAGAUGAUUGUUACACUGUUUAUCAUACGAAAAAGAAAUAUUAAAAGUUGAAAUAAAAAUAUAUAAAAUUUAUUAAAGUUUAUUUAUAUUGUUUUACUUUCACAUCCAAUUACGAAAUAAUAACCGAUGACAUGAGAUAAAUUCUCAAUAAAAUUUCCGGUCAACAAUGUGUUAAAUUUUAUUUAUUAUAUAUCCUUGCAGUGCAAUAGAUUAUUUACCUAAUUAUUGUAAUUACACGUCUACUCUUUUGUGUAAACAAGCCGUAUUUUCUAGUCGCUUAUUUAUUAGAUCGAUUAAUCCCACAAAACAAAAAAUAGACAAAACUGAUGAAAUUAUGUAAAAUAAGCGUCGAUCAAAAAGUGCUUCGGCACUAAAAUCUCAACAAUUUCAAAAACUCCAGCUAACCAUUGCGGCCUAAUUCAACGAUGUUUCAGCGAUACCUAUUUCCACUAUCUGUUCGUUUAUUUCUGUCCGAAAUUGUAGUCGGUCGAAGAAUAUGGAACAUUCGAUAGAACUCAACUUAUGGUUAAGAGCUACCAGGCUACGGACUGGUGCUUUAAUUCUCAAAUACAAGAAAAGGGAUGGAAUAAUUCAUAAGGGGGUUGCCGUUUCCUCAGCGUUUUGUGCGUCCGGAGCUUCCACGCGGAAUAGCUCCUUUUCAAGCGGAUUAUUCCACAAGCUACCAAGCUAAUGCAGCUUCCAAGCAGCUCGUACCUUCGUCUAGCAGUUCCUGGUAUGCCUGGCCUGUAAUCCGUCACUUGGGAAAUAUUGAUCCGCCAUCGAACAUAAAAGGGACAAAAAGAAAAACGUGGAGAGAAGAUGACAGAUUUUCCUGCGGCGCGACGAAGAGAUCCAAGUUGUCUUCCGCUAGACUCAACCAACCAAUUUCUGCUGGCUCGACGAACGUGAUUAAGGAAAAUUAAUUAUCUCUGGUCGACCAUAUGAAACAUUUGUUUAUCCUCGUCGAGUUAAGCUUUCGUGGACUUCGAUAAUUAAUUAGCGACAUCCUCGAAGACAUUACAGUCGAUUAAUCGGGAUAAUUGAGUAACCCGGCUUUCCUCGUAUCAUUAUCUACCAUUUUGGAAUCUUUUCUAUUCCACACAACUGGUAUCUGCCUCAGCUCUACUUCAAUUUCCUUGCUCUCGUCUCGAUUUAUCGUCCUGAAUUUCCGUCUACGCUUGCCAAUUUCCGUGUGUCUUCUGAUUCAAGAUGAUCUUACGAUCCUUUGCUUCUUAUUAAUUAAAUUGGCCACGAUAAGCGGGACAGCGUACGUGAUAUAAAGUUUUCAUAAGUAUUUUGACAUUUUCAAUAGGAAACUUGUAUGUCCAUAUUGUACGCGCUACAUGAAACAUUUUGAAAUUUCAUUUCAUUAGCACUGUAACAUGACAUGAUUAUUUUUCUUCUUUUUUGACAAUUUGGAAGGAUUAAUUUAAUAGACCAAGUGUAAAAAGAUUUCGAAGAAAUUGCAAUUAGUCGAAAGAAGAAGAAAAUAGCAAAGAUCUUUCGAUGUCUGUUACUUGAUUCCAUUGAUCAACCAAUAUCGAUAAAAUGUUCAAUAUAUCUGUAACUGAACAACGUCAUCAUCCUCCUACGUACAUGAACUAUGAACUUUCGCGCAUUUAGAGGAAAUUUAAAAAUGCAAAAUUGCGCAAAAUAUACAUACAUAUAUAUGUAAACUCCCUAGAGUUCAUGUAGGAUAGGGAUUCUUUUCGUUUUACGGAUAGCACGACAGGCUGUGUUUCAUGGACAGAACGAUUUUCCUUUGUUUUACGGACGGCCAUUUGAAGAAACACGUUCUUCCCAAACGAACGGACAGAGAGUUACAUUAGAGACAGAUAAGGUUACAGAAUAGUUAUUUAAGAUUUUAAAGACUGAAGGAGAAAUAUUGGUAGCUAAGGACGUUGAAAAUCGAUUCUCGAUUUUCAGACUUUAGAAUCGAUCCCUGAAUUAUCCAAUUAUUGAACCUUAUAAAUCGACUUUCCCUACGCCAUCUUGCUGAAAGUUAACCUACGCGUCGUCAUGAACGAGAACGCGAAACAGUAGAAGAUAGAGAAGAUAUAGAAUCUAUCAGAAGACCAGAAGACGAAAUAUUCUGUAUUUUCCCCCCGGAAUAUCAAGAAGAAAAGUACCAUCAACAAUUAUUCAGUUUACCAAUAGUGAAGAAGGUCGCAAACAGUCUAACCAAGGUAGGCCAAUGUAGAAAUAUUAAACUCACAAUAGAUGACGAGACAGCAACAUUGUAUAUCAAUACGGAUUCAAGCUUCGCAUUCCGAGACAUUGUCUUAGAGGAACCAGAAAUAACUUGCAGAAGAAAAACAAAGACGGAAAUUGACAUGGUAAAACUUCUAGAGACUCUCAGAAAAUGAGAUAAGAGGGAAAUAGAGGAAAUAAACUUCAAUAUAGAACAAUUUGAAGGAACUCGAAGAGCCACAGACUGGAUAUCGGAGCAUGAAGAGGAAUGCAAAAGAUACAAAAUAAAAGGUAAUGAGGAAAAAGUCAAAGGUUUAAGAAAGUAUCUAGGAAAAACAGCAGAAAGAUGGUACCAAAGGAAUCUGCUGAAAGCUGAAGGACACAACUGGGGAGAUUGGAGGAAGCAUUUCUCAAAACUUUUAAUCCUUUGAGUGCUGUGGGCCCAUAUAGGUGUCUGGUGAAAGCUAUCAGUAAGGACUAAGGAUAUAUAUACUUGUUUUCUGUAAGUGACUGGCAUGGACUAAGGACACAUGUAUAGGUUUCUCAAUUGUUCCAAACACCUACGUAGAAGUAAUACUAUUACAUUUGUGUGAAAUAAAUAUAAAUGCAUUCCUUACGGCAUUAAAAAAAAUGCCAAAAGUGUCUCCUUAUUGUUGAAGUGAUCAC